GACGAACUGUCCUAACGUUGUUCGGAAUCACUGGGCUUAAAGGGCGCGUAGGCGGUCCAUCAAGUCAGGGGUGAAAUCCUGCAGCUUAACUGUAGAAGUGCCUUUGAUACUGAUGGUCUGGAGGGAGAUAGGGGUGUGUGGAACUGCGAGUGUAGAGGUGAAAUUCGUAGAUAUUCGCAAGAACACCAGUGGCGAAGGCGGCUCACUGGCCCGAUACUGACGCUGAGGCACGAAAGCGUGGGGAGCAAACAGG
rnacentral:rRNA from 1 species